GGCUCCGCCCCCGCCCCCGCGGACAGCGCCCGGGGCACGGCUCCCCCAGACGCGCCUUCCGGAGACGUGGGCUCGGGCCGGGUGGACGGACGUGGGGCGCUGCGGUGGAGGCGCAGGGGUGGACGGCGGGGGUGUGGAGUCCAGCCGCGGUCGCCCUCUCCCCCAGCGUUCUGCAGCGGCGCGGCGUUUAAUUCAUUGCUGGCCGCUUCCCAGACAGCAGAGCCGAGUUAACUCGUUUCCCGGGAUCGGGAUUGGGGGACCCUUUUUUACAAGGGAAGUCGUCGCCCCGGAGAAACGACCCUUGGCACCUACCGGGAAGGCGUCCUGUGUGAUGUCUGCGGGUAGAAACUCGCCGGUGACCUUUCCUGCCCCCACUCGGCGCCCAGCCCUGCGGGAGAGACAUGUUUUGGUGAUCUUUGGCUGCUUCUGAAUUUGUGCUAGGUUCCAGGCUCCCCUGUGCCCACAUGGCUGAUGGCCCUGUGGGACUCUACACAUGGACUAAUACGCUUUAAUCCACUUGGAUGCUGAACUACACUCGACUGUAACAUGGAACCGAAGCUCCGGACGCUGGCUGCUCCUGUAACCCCAGCUGCACCUUUUCCAGGACUGGCUUCUCUCAAUAAACUUUGCUCCCGCUAACCAUUUUUGCCCUCGAAUCCAUUCUUCGGUUUUUCAAGACAACAAAUUCUGACUCAAAACACCCCACAUUUUGGUUUCAAGAGCACCUACUGUUGCAGAUAAGCUGCCAGGCGGCGCAAGAGAAUUAAGUCAGCAGGGCACUCAGAGAAAAUUCAGCAAAGUUGCCUUUAUUGCAGACUGCGCUAGUGCCAUGACUCAGGGGAGUCAGUCUCCAAAUCCUGAGUGAUGGAUAUGCACGAAGCUUUCCCUUUAUACUCUUAGUUCCUUUGUCCCCAAAAUAUGGAUCAGGCUUCUGGAUCCUCUGUGGGCUUUGCAGUCCCCCUCCCCCCACCCCUGUGAGUUGGGAAGUGAGACCACACCCAGAGGCUUGCCAGCACUGGCACCGGCCCCUCCGGGGACUGUAUAUGGUUCAUGGUUUAUGGCCUCUGUAAGAUGGGUGUAUUCCAGGAAACAGGUUCUGCAGGGCAUCACAGAUAAGAAGGGAAUUUGAUAAGAAUGGAGUUUAUUGGCAAGCAAGGGUGUACGUCAGAAGGCAGGUUACUGGCACAGAUUCAGAUAGCUAGCCCCCCAAAUGUCUUAUUUUCCCCUUCAAUACAAGAAGUAAUCAAUGCAUACAUAAAUAAAUGAAACAACAAAUCAGUGUUUCUCUCUCCCUCCUCCCUCCCUCACUUCCUCUCUCUUUCUAAAUCAAUAAAUGGGAAAAAAGAAAAGAAAAGAACAGUGGAUCCCGUUGUUCUGUUGCGCCCCCUCCCACCCCCGUGGUUGUGGGAGGGGCAGUCGUUUGAUUUCAUUUAUCUCCUUCCUCAACAUACACACAGUGAUUCUUGUUUGAAAAAGGAUCCAUAUCCCUGUUCUCCAUGUGCCGGGCAUACUGUAGACACUCCAUGCACACCCAGUAGUUGUGAUACCUGCACCCCUAGAAAGGUUCUGUCUUCAUGUCUGCCUCUUGUCCGGACCAUAUUGAAUUUGGAUUAGCUUUUUUGUGGGGAUCUAGGUGCAGACCACUGGUCAGUGCAUUCAUUCAUUUAUUCAUUCUUCAGUUCAUUCCUUCAACAAGUAUUUCUUACGUGCUCUUUACGUGGUAGGCGCUGUUCUAGGUCCCUUCUCUAGGAGUUUUCUAGUGGGGAGAACAGACAGUAGGCAGAUACGUAUGAGUAGCAGUGAGUGCUCAGAAGUGAAGAAGAGAGGUGAGUCACAGGGCUUGGGGGGUGGGGAUGCUGUUUUACAGAGGGUGGUCAAGGAAGGUGACUUCAACAAAGACCAAAAUAAAAAUGCUGAGGGAGGCAGAGGAAACAGGUGGAGGCCUGAGAUGGGGAAGGGGGGAUGUUGAUGCAAGGAGCAGUAGGAAGCCUGCUAGGCUGAAGUGGAGUGAGGAGGAAGAGAGUGUAAGAAAGGUGGGGAGGGGAGAUGGCUCUGGAUUUGACCCUGCAAGGGUUGCUGCCAUCUUAACAUCUUUGCCACUUCAGUGAAAUCUUAGCGAUACCAUCUGUAGUUCUGGGCGUGAUCUAGUUUUGGAGAAUGUAUUUUAUUCUGAGGACUCAGGAUUAAUUGUCUUAACACUUAAAAAAAAGAUUUUAGAGAGGGAGGAAGGGAGAGAGAAACAUCGAUGUGAGGGAGAUACAUCUAUCAGUUGCUGCUUGUACAUACCCCGACCAGGUAUCAAACUCAUGACCUUCUGCUACACGGGAUGACAUUCCCACCAACUGAGCCACACCGGUCAGGGUGCCUUAACACUUUCAAACAUGUAAAAAGCAGGCAGCUGAAUGUUAGUAAUGAUGUAUUCUCAACAUUAGAGGAAUACUGGUUGACUAGAAGUAAAUUGAACAGCAUACCUCAGAAUCAUUGAAGUGCUUGCAUCUUGGUUGGUGGCCAAAAUUAGUGGAAUGUAGACUGCGCAUUCACAGAGCAACACUCUUAUUUUUAGUUGCAGGAAACAGGUCCUCAUAAUGUUGCAUGGUAUGUAGGAUCUGAAAGUCUUUAGGCUAAAAUCUGUUGUACAUACAGCUGCAAGAAGCUGGCUAGUGAGCAGGGUUACUCACAGUGCUGCACCCACAUAACCCCGGGGGAACUGGCUUACACUGCUCAUUUCGUGUCCUUACCUGGUCCUACUGGGUGGGAGACUCUGAGGAUGGGGCCUGGGAAUCUGAAUACAUCACAGCCUCCUCCAGUGGUUCUUGUGUGUGGUCAGACCGGAGGAUCACUGACUGAGACCACCGUGGAGGCAUUGGUGCGCGAAUAAGUACCAUAAGGUACCAGAACUGACUGGGUGUGGUCUCAGCCAGUUCUCUGGCCAGCACUUGAUAUCAUGGGUGAAAUCCCAGAGUCUUAAAAGACGGGUGAAACAGUGGAAACGGAGAAAUAGUGCCCCCUUUCCCCCGUAGGUGGUGGAAGUGGAAGGGGAUAUAGGGGCUCUGCUUGAGUUGCAUGGAUCCAGGAACAUUGUUGUCCUUCCACCGCCUGCACACCUGUGAACUCUCCCUGCCAGGUGGCGUGUGAAUGCAGGCCUGUGCAUGUCUGUUGGCUUCUGAUUAGGUAGAUACUGAAGCUCAGGUAUCACAAGUGUUAACCCACAGUCUUUGGUCUUCAAUUUUUACAUUAAGUUUAAUUACCUUUGGUAACCUGUAAGCAGAAGGCCAAAAUGAGAGGCAACAAGCGUUCAUUUGAGGUCCAUAGGAAUAGCUACUCACUCCCGAAGGGCUGAUUCAGGCAGAAACCCAAAUAGUGUUUUGAUUAGGUGACUGGCCAGAGGUAUUUAUGAGAAAGAGAAGGGGAAUAAUUAAGAGAAUUGAAAGAAGGGAUUUCUGUAGGUGUAGAUUAGCUAGCAUAGUGAUGCUAAUUCUAAAGAAUGUCUUUGAUCUUCAGUCCCUUAGUCAAAACAGCAGUUUGGAAUACUGCGCUGCCUUAGGCCCAGUCCGAAGGUUAUUUUGCCCAGUUUCAACAUUCUAAGGUUUGAGGCAGUUUCUCUGGGAUGGCAGCUCUGACUCCAUUUUCAAAGUGGCUCUGUUUUUGUUAUUUUUUACACUUUCAAUACUUUAAAAAUACGGCAAUGUUGGGAUUUUAAUAUAUAUACAACUAGAGGCUCAGUGCAUGAAAUUCAUGCACAGGUAGGGUCCCUAGGCCUGGCUGGCGAUCAGGGCUGAUUGGGGCCUUCUGGCUGCUGGCCGGGGCCUUCUGCCAGUCAGGGCCUUCUUUGUCCCCCUGGUGGUCAGCGCACGUCAUAGUGAUCUAUCGAACUCCCAGUCACCUGGUCAAACUCCCAAGGGGACACUUUGUAUAUUAGCCUUUUAUAUAUAUAGAUGACUUUAUCCCAGUGGGUCAAGUCAGGGUGAUUUUCCCCCCUAGGAGACAUUUGUCAAUAUCUGGAAACAUUUUUAGUUGUCACAACUGGGAGAGAUGGGGAGGACCAGAGAUUCUACUGGUAUGUUGUGGAUAGAGGUCAGGGAUGUUGCUAAACAUCCUAUAAUGCCCAGAUAACCUCCUACAACAGUGAUGGCGAACCUAUGACACCCGUGUCAGAGGUGACACACGAACUCAUUUUUUUGGUGGAUUUUUCUUUGUUAAAUGGCAUUUAAAUAUAUAAAAUAAAUAUCAAAAAUAUAAGUCUUUGUUUUACUAUGGUUGCAAAUAUCAAAAAAUUUCUAUAUGUGACACGGCACCAGAGUUAAGUUAGGGUUUUUCAAAAUGCUGCCACGCCGAGCUCAAAAGGUUCGCCAUCACUGGCCUACAAUGAAGAGUUACCCAGUCACUGUUUUCUCAGCUUCACAUUUUUGUUUCUAAUGAUCUGUACCUUGGCAUGCCUUCAUUAUUAAAAGCAAAGCAAACAAA